rnacentral:rRNA from 1 species
GACGAACGCUGGCGGCGUGCUUGACACAUGCAAGUCGAACGGAAAGGCCUGCUUUCCCUUGUGGAUUGCGGGUACUCGAGUGGCGAACGGGUGAGUAACACGUGAGUGAUCUGCCCCCAACUUGGGUAUAAGCCUGGGAAACUGGGUCUAAUUCCCGAUAGGACUGCAGGGUGGUGCCUGUGGUGGAAAACGAUUUUCUAGUGGUUGGGGAUGAGCUCGCGGCCUAUCAGCUUGUUGGUGGGGUAAUGGCCUACCAAGGCGGCGACGGGUAGCCGGCCUGAGAGGGUGGACGGCCACAUUGGGACUGAGAUACGGCCCAGACUCCUACGGGAGGCAGCAGUGGGGAAUAUUGCACAAUGGGCGGAAGCCUGAUGCAGCGACGCCGCGUGGGGGAUGACGGCCUUCGGGUUGUAAACUCCUUUCGACCGCGAGGAAGCCACCUGGUUGGAAGGGUGGUGACGGUAGUGGUAGAAGAAGCACCGGCUAACUACGUG